rnacentral:misc_RNA from 1 species
GUCGGAAUCGGAAGCCAGAGGAGGUAGAAGGAGCAUAUUUGCCGCCAUGGAUUUGGAAGGCAGUCCGUCUCUUCUUCAAUUUCACAUGCCCGCUGAGUGGGAACCCCAUUCCCAAUGUUGGAUGGGUUGGCCUGAACGGCCUGAUAAUUGGAGGGAUAAUGCAAUCCAUGGACAACGUGUAUUUGCUAAGGUGGCAUCUUCAAUCUCGAAGUUCGAAUCGGUGACUGUCUGUGCUACUGCG